UAUAUGUUUGCGGGAGGGUGAUCUGCGAGAUUUGAGGAGGAUUGUGAGCGUGGAAAACGAAUCAGAGGGCGAGCCGACGACGAGCAUGUAGAGGAAUUAUCAAGGAUUUUGACAAAUUUUGGAACCCUUUGGAGAUGCAAAUCCGAACAGAAAGUGUCACGCUUUUCAAUGGAGUUUGAUGUAGCAGUCGAGGCAAAGGCACACGUGGGUUGUUGGCUAUAGAGAAUGCCGUCACAUUUGAGUUUGUAGUCUUCUUUGUGCUUUGCCUUUUAAUCCUGCAUUUCAUGUAUUUUAAAUCGUUUGAUAUCGUACCAAUGUAUUUUAGUGAUCUCUUUCUCAUCUCUCCGUAAAAGAAGAACUUUCAUUACUAUAUAAUUAAAUUUUAAAUUGCAUGCAUAUGUUUGAAUGUUGUAAAGUUUAAGUAUUUUAUUAUACU